UUUCCGUAGGUGAACCUGCGGAAGGAUCAUUAAAGUUAUAGUCCCCCGGCCCUCUGGGCUGGGGUCUUCUAUACCACCCUUUGUUUAUUACACCUUUGUUGCUUUGGCAGGCCUGCCCUCGGGCUGCUGGCUCCGGCCGGCUCGCGUCCGCCAGAGGACCUAAACUCUGUUUGUAUAUGAAGUCUGAGUACUAUAUAAUAGUUAAAACUUUCAACAACAGAUCUCUUGGUUCUG
rnacentral:misc_RNA from 1 species